CAAUUUCUUCAGAUUAAACAAAACUCAACUUGAGAUUCAACUAACCAGACGACCGACGCUUCAACUAUAAACAAUUUUCAAAUUCCAUUUUCUAUUAAAUAGCCCGAUCAACUCAAGAAUUGUCCGAAAAACCAAGCCUUCUGCUCUCUUUCUCCCCCCCUCAAGGCGAAGUCAUCGCCACCAUCUGACCACCUCAAAGGAUUGCAGCCUCCAGAAUUCAACCCUUUCUUCUCAUUCUUCUUCUUCCUCAAUGCGACCACCAUCCGCAAAAUUCUUCUUCCUUUCUUCUGCUGGGACACAGAAAAUCUAUAGAGAAGCCAAAUAGCAACACCACGAUCAUCACCAAAACAAUUCUUCGUUCUUCUGCAGAAAAAUUCAGAAGAAGAUGACUCCGAAGCAAGUGGCACUACCACCACCAUCGCCAAUGAAUGCCCACCUCCUCCUUUGCCUUGUCCUGCUCUCUACCACCGUCGUCUCGGUGACAUCUCGCUUCGUGGUGGAGAAGAGCAGCAUCACGGUGGUGUCUCCGGACGACCUCAAGUCCAAGCACGACAGCUCCAUCGGCAAUUUCGGCGUUCCCGACUACGGCGGCAGCAUGAUGGGCGUCCUGUUCUAUCCUUCCACCUCCUCCCCUUCCUCCAUGGCGUGCAACGCCUUUGACUCCCCCUUCAAGCACGAGACCUCGGGCCGCCCUCUGAUUGUCCUGAUCGACCGAGGAGGAUGCUUCUUCGCCCUGAAGGUCUGGAACGCGCAGCAGGCCGGCGCCAAAGCCGUGCUCGUUGCCGACGACCGGGACGAGCCCCUGAUCACUAUGGAAUCCCCAGAAGAAGAGACGCAGUCGCAGGCCUAUAUGAGGAAUAUCACCAUCCCAUCCGCCUUGAUCGAGCGGUCCUUCGGCGACAGCCUCAAGAAAGCGCUGACCAAGGGGCAGGAGGUGGUGAUCAAGAUCGAUUGGGGAGAGUCCAUGCCGCAUCCGGAUAACCGCGUUGAGUACGAACUUUGGACGAACAGCAACGAUGAAUGCGGAGUUCGGUGUGAUGAGCAGAUGGAGUUCGUGAAGAACUUCAGGGGCCACGCCCAGCUGCUGGAGAAGGGAGGUUACACACAAUUCACCCCCCAUUAUAUUACCUGGUAUUGCCCAGAAGCGUUCAUCUUGACCAAGCAAUGCAAAUCCCAGUGCAUUAAUCAUGGGAGAUACUGUGCGCCCGAUCCGGAGAAGGAUUUCGAACGUGGGUAUGAUGGGAAAGAUGUCCUGAUGGAGAACUUGAGGCAAUUAUGUGUUCACAGAGUGGCUAAUGAGAGUAAGAGGCCGUGGUUGUGGUGGGAUUAUGUGACGGAUUUCCAUAUUAGGUGCCGCAUGAGUGAGAAGAAGUACAAUCAGGACUGUGCAGAGGAAGUCAUCAAGUCUUUGUAUUUGUCAAUCGAAAAGGUUCGGGAGUGUAUGGGUGAUCCGGAGGCGGAUGCUGAGAAUCCUGUUCUGAAGUUGGAACAGGAGCUGCAGGUUGGGCGAGGAUCACGAGGCGAUGUUACUAUUUUGCCCACAUUGGUCAUCAACGAUGUGCAGUAUCGAGGGAACCUGGAGAGAACUGCUGUUCUAAGAGCUAUCUGUGCUGGUUUUGAGGAGACAACUGAACCUGCAAUUUGCUUAAAUGGAGACAUCGAGACAAAUGAAUGCGUGGAAAAUAAUGGUGGCUGUUGGCAGGACACAAAAACUAAUAUUACUGCUUGCAAGGACACGUUCAGGGGAAGAGUGUGCAAAUGUCCAUCAGUGAAUGGUGUUCAGUACGAGGGAGAUGGUUAUAAGCAUUGUGAAGCUGUUGGCCCUACAAGGUGUGCUGUAAAUCAUGGGGGCUGCUGGUCAGAGACUAGAAAUGGACAGACAUUUUCAGCAUGCUCAGAAUCUGACCUGAAGGGCUGCCAAUGUCCAAAAGGCUUCCGUGGUGAUGGACAUACAUGUGAAGAUAUGGAUGAGUGCAAGGAACGCAUGGCAUGUCAAUGUGAUGGUUGUAGCUGCAAAAACACAUGGGGAAGUUAUGAAUGCGGUUGUGGUGGGAACCGCCUGUACAUAAAGGAGCAGGACACAUGUAUUGCCAAAAGCUCCUCGCAAUUUGGGUGGUACAUAACUCUAUUUGUGUUGGCUGGUUUUGCUGGUAUUGGUAUUGUUGGUUACAUAUUCUACAAGUACCGGCUUCGGUCGUAUAUGGACUCUGAGAUCAUGGCCAUCAUGUCCCAGUACAUGCCAAUAGACAACCAGAACAAUGAAGUUCAACCUCUACAACGAAGCUCUGUAUGAACGAGUAUGUACUUUCAUUUUGAAGAAGAAUGGCAUUUUCCCAACUAUAGUGAAGCUGCCGUGAGUAGAGAUGGAACGGGGAAUUUAAAAGUGAACGAAGCCAUUAAUCUGGUGUCUCCUCUGAGCUGAACCUUAUCUGGACGUUAUUGUGCUGUAAACACCAGCUACCUACAAGGAUACAGAACAUGGAUUCAACUUACCGCACAAUAGGACACUGUAACAGUAAAAUGGGAGAGAGGGAGAGAGUUUGGAAGGUGCACCGUUGUAACAUUUAUUCGCACCUAGGCUUUGAAAAAUGUCAACAAAAUCUUUUACAGACUACUAUGUUCCAUUACAUAUACAUUUAUACUGUUGACCAAAGAAAUGUUUGGCCACAUGCACGUAGAAUAAAAUGAGAAUGUGACUGUUUCUUCUGGA